GCCCGCCUAGCUCAAUCGGAUAUAUAGAGCAUCAGACUCUUAUUGCUGACUUCCGUCUUGGAACAAUCUGAAGGCUGCGAGUUCGACCCUCACGGUGGGUU